rnacentral:rRNA from 1 species
AGAGUUUGAUCCUGGCUCAGAUUGAACGCUGGCGGCAUGCUUUACACAUGCAAGUCGGACGGCAGCACAGAGAAGCUUGCUUCUUGGGUGGCGAGUGGCGAACGGGUGAGUAAUAUAUCGGAACGUACCGAGUAAUGGGGGAUAACUAAUCGAAAGAUUAGCUAAUACCGCAUAUUCUCUGAGGAGGAAAGCAGGGGACCUUCGGGCCUUGCGUUAUUUGAGCGGCCGAUAUCUGAUUAGCUAGUUGGUGGGGUAAAGGCCUACCAAGGCGACGAUCAGUAGCGGGUCUGAGAGGAUGAUCCGCCACACUGGGACUGAGACACGGCCCAGACUCCUACGGGAGGCAGCAGUGGGGAAUAUUGCACAAUGGGCGCAAGCCUGAUGCAGCGACGCCGCGUGGGGGAUGACGGCCUUCGGGUUGUAAACUCCUUUCGUUAGGGACGAAGCCACACCUUUUUUGGGUGUGGUGACGGUACCUUUGUUAAGAAGCACCGGCUAACUACGUGCCAGCAGCCGCGGUAAUACGUAGGGUGCGAGCGUUGUCCGGAAUUACUGGGCGUAAAGAGCUCGUAGGUGGUUUGUUGCGUCGUCUGUGAAAUUCCGGGGCUUAACUUCGGGGUGGCAGGCGAUACGGGCAUAACUAGAGUGCUGUAGGGGAGACUGGAAUUCCUGGUGUAGCGGUGGAAUGCGCAGAUAUCAGGAGGAACACCGAUGGCGAAGGCAGGUCUCUGGGCAGUAACUGACGCUGAGGAGCGAAAGCAUGGGGAGCGAACAGGAUUAGAUACCCUGGUAGUCCAUGCUGUAAACGGUGGGCGUUAGGUGUGGGGACCGGUUUUGGUUUCUGUGCCGUAGCUAACGCAUUAAGCGCCCCGCCUGGGGAGUACGGCCGCAAGGCUAAAACUCAAAGGAAUUGACGGGGGCCCGCACAAGCGGCGGAGCAUGCGGAUUAAUUCGAUGCAACGCGAAGAACCUUACCAAGGCUUGACAUACGCUGGGACGGUGCAGAGAUGUGCUGGCUUUUGCUGGUGUACAGGUGGUGCAUGGUUGUCGUCAGCUCGUGUCGUGAGAUGUUGGGUUAAGUCCCGCAACGAGCGCAACCCUUGUCAUUAGUUGCCAUCAUUUAGUUGGGCACUCUAAUGAGACUGCCGGUGACAAGCCGGAGGAAGGUGGGGAUGACGUCAAGUCCUCAUGGCCCUUAUGACCAGGGCUUCACACGUCAUACAAUGGUCGGUACAGAGGGUAGCCAAGCCGCGAGGUGGAGCCAAUCUCACAAAACCGAUCGUAGUCCGGAUUGCACUCUGCAACUCGAGUGCAUGAAGUCGGAAUCGCUAGUAAUCGCAGGUCAGCAUACUGCGGUGAAUACGUUCCCGGGUCUUGUACACACCGCCCGUCACACCAUGGGAGUCAUCAAUGCCCGAAGUCAGUGACCUAACCCACACUGGUAAACGUAAAGCUGGGAUAAGAAUACGAGGGAAUAAGCCGCCAGGCUUAUGAGUG